AUUGAACGCUGGCGGCAGGCCUAACACAUGCAAGUCGAGCGAGCGGCGGACGGGUGAGUAAUGUAGGGGGAUCUGCCCGAUAGAGGGGGAUAACUACUGGAAACGGUGGCUAACACCGCAUACUAUCGUAUGAACCCAUAGGGGUUUAGCUAGUAGGUGGGGUACGGUCUCACUGAGGCGACGCGCUCUAGCUGGUCUGAGAGGAUGAACAGCCACACUGGGACUGAGACACGGCCCAGACUCCUACGGGAGGCAGCAGUGGGGAAUAUUGCACAAUGGGCGCAAGCCUGAUGCAGCCAUGCCGCGUGUAUGAAGAAGGCCUUAGGGUUGUAAAGUACUUUCAGCGGGGAGGCGUUACCCGCAGAAGAAGCACCGGCUAACUCCGUGCCAGCAGCCGCGGUAAUAC
rnacentral:rRNA from 1 species